rnacentral:rRNA from 1 species
AUUGAACGCUGGCGGCAUGCUUUACACAUGCAAGUCGAACGGCAGCACAGGGAGCUUGCUCCUGGGUGGCGAGUGGCGAACGGGUGAGUAAUGUAUCGGAACGUGCCUGGUAGUGGGGGAUAACUCCUCGAAAGAGUGGCUAAUACCGCAUGAGAUCUCUGGAUGAAAGCGGGGGACCUUCGGGCCUCGUGCUACUGGAGCGGCCGAUGUCAGAUUAGGUUGUUGGUGGGGUAAAGGCCUACCAAGCCUGCGAUCUGUAGCUGGUCUGAGAGGACGACCAGCCACACUGGGACUGGGACACGGCCCAGACUCCUACGGGAGGCAGCAGUGGGGAAUUUUGGACAAUGGGCGCAAGCCUGAUCCAGCAAUGCCGCGUGCAGGACGAAGGCCUUCGGUUUGUAAUCUGCUUUUGUACAGAACGAAAAGUCUCUGGCUAAUAUCUAGAGAGCAUGACGGUACUGUAAGAAUAAGCACCGGCUAACUACGUG